rnacentral:rRNA from 1 species
UACGUAGGGUGCAAGCGUUGUCCGGAAUUAUUGGGCGUAAAGAGCUUGUAGGCGGUUUGUCGCGUCUGCUGUGAAAUUUCGGGGCUCAACCCCGAACUUGCAGUGGGUACGGGCAGACUAGAGUGUGGUAGGGGAGACUGGAAUUCCUGGUGUAGCGGUGAAAUGCGCAGAUAUCAGUCGGAACACCGGUGGCGAAGGCGGCUUCUUGGGCCGUUACUGACGCUGAGGCGCGAAAGCCAGGGGAGCGAACGGG